CUGAAGUGAUUAUGGGGUGCAGAUAGAAACAUUCAUGGGCCAAAUGGGAAGGGAAGGACAAUGCGCUAAUGAGAGGGGGAAAAGUAUCAACUGGAAACGUUCACCAUCAUGUGUUUAAUUUCUUUCACGUGUUUCACAUGUUCAAUCAACAAUUCAAGUUAACAGCUUUCCUCUAAUCUGAAAACACUCCUCUAUCCUGCCGAAAGUCGCCUCUGACGGUGGCGGAGCCCUAACACGCUCUUCCUUUCAUUGCCCUGAGUGCAAAUCCAUGACCAAAUUUCCAAAAUUCUUCACCAAUUAAACAAAUCGAAAGGACACACAUAAGAACCCUAACUUAGCAAAAUCCAAGUUAAAUUUCAAACACCUGGAAUCAAAUCCCUAGGGGUUAGGGCUUUAAUUCCCCAAGCUUAGACCUACAUUCUAGUAACUAAGUUGAAGCAAAUGGAAAUGGGAAUUGAAGACUCACCGAUGGAGAAGAUGCAGAGGGACACAAAAUUUAGGGUUGUUUUGAGGUGAGUGCAAGGCUUGUUGCGUGGAAUCAAGAUGUUUGGAAAGAAGCAAGGCAUGGCUUGGACAUGAAGGAUCAAAGGUUACUUACAAGUGAAGUUAUGCCAUAAAGUUGAAGGAAAGACUUGAGAAAACCAAAUGGAAACUAGGGAUUGGGUUGAUGAUUAGAUGACUUGACUUUGGUCAAAUGGUUGACCAAAAAGUCAACUAUAGGUAAAAAAACCAGUUUUUUGUAAUUUCUUUGUAUGAACAUGUAUGGACAUUGUAACAUGAUAUGUGUGAAUGUAAAGAAAGUUUUCUUUGAAUGAGAAAAACCCUUAUGACUAA